AAAUUAUCAACAUAAUUUGUGCUUUGAUGAAAAGAGUAACAAGAAUAUAAAUAACCCUCACUCGAAAAUUUCUUCACAGAGUAGUUGAAGUUUGAAAAGAUGGCAUCUUGGCAAUAUGUAGUAGCUCUUAUGCUGGUUAUAACAACCACAGUAUUUGCAUUGGACUGUGAGUUUGGAGGUUCAACCUACGCAGAUGGCUCAUCAACUACUAUUGAUGACUCUGGCCCAUGCGUAACAUAUUCCUGUAAUAAUGGCGCAUUCGCACCCAGUAAAGUUCAGUGCCAAGCUGCAGAUAACAGCUGCAAAAAUCCCGGUGAUGUAUUUCCAUAUGUGAUUAAGGGUAAAACAUGGGAUAAUUGUGGUUGCACCAUUUCGGACCAAAAUGAGAUCGACUAUCAAUGUAAAUAAAUCAUUAAAGAGCA